rnacentral:lncRNA from 1 species
AAACGCUUCAUCACCAUGUGCUCUUCAUUUCAGCACAGCAGAGAGAAACGCGACUCCACAGGAAUGUCCCUGUCGAAGCUUAUUUUAUCCGGAAAACCUGUGGGCUUAAAUGCUCUGAAAAUACCAAAUAACCAAGCACAGAUGUGGUGUGAGAUCUGCUUUCCUUAAAGGCCCUUUUUGGAGUCGGUUUCGGACAGAACCACGAAGAAAUGAUGGCACUUCUCACAUUUGACAAACCGUGUGGAGGCUGAGAGGAGAAAAGACAAGACAAUCCUUCAGUUUGACGUUUAGUUCAGUUUUUAAUCGCUUAUUCAUGCACUGUAAAAAUGUAAACGACAAAGUCAAGAUAGCAAAUGUUCUCUGCUGCUUUAAAUUUUUUUAAUAAGUUAAUUCAGCUACAUUUUUAAGUUAAGUUUAAUGUAGUAAUCUUACUCAGUUUGAUUAAUGUACAACCCCAAAUCAGAGAAAGUUGGGACAGUAUUGAUAACGUGAAUAAAAAAAGAAACUAGAGAUUUCC